rnacentral:rRNA from 1 species
GACGAACGCUGGCGGCGUGCUUAACACAUGCCAGUCGAACGGAAAGGCCCUGCUUUUGUGGGGUGCUCGAGUGGCGAACGGGUGAGUAACACGUGAGUAACCUGCCCUUGACUUUGGGAUAACUUCAGGAAACUGGGGCUAAUACCGGAUAGGAGCUCCUGCUGCAUGGUGGGGGUUGGAAAGUUUCGGCGGUUGGGGAUGGACUCGCGGCUUAUCAGCUUGUUGGUGGGGUAGUGGAUUACCAAGGCUUUGACGGGUAGCCGGCCUGGGAGGGUGACCGGCCACAUUGGGACCGAGAUACGGCCCAGACUCCUACGGGAGGCAGCAGUGGGGAAUAUUGCACAAUGGGCGGAAGCCUGAUGCAGCAACGCCGCGUGCGGGAUGACGGCCUUCGGGUUGUAAACCGCUUUCGCCUGUGACGAAGCGUGAGUGACGGUAAUGGGUAAAGAAGCACCGGCUAACUACGUG